UGGAAGUGCAUCCUCGGCCUCUGCCAAGCUUUCAGACACAACCCUGGCCAACAUCUUAUCUGCAACUUCCUAAGAGGCUCUGAGCCAGAGGCACCCAGCUAAGCCACUUCCAGAUUCCUGACUCUCAGAAACUGGAGCUUUCCCCGAAGCCACAAAGUUCUCCCAGCUGUUGCAUAGGACAGCCUGGAGGUAUGGGGAAAUCAACGCUUCCGAGCACAAACCUCAACAAGUGGGGGCUGGGAGCCAGAGAAUACAUGCCUCGGACACGCAUCCUUUGAAGAGAGAGAGCAUUCUGCAUCCCAUUCUGCAUGAUUUCUCGGUGGGUCCCCAGUAGGACUGAGCCCCAUUUACUCAUCCUUAUUGACUUUUUCUCCUUCUCUGUCUUACUCUCCUCUCUCCUUCACUCCUGAUUCCUGGGGUGGUCUUCAAAAUGAACUACUUGCGCCUGUAUCCUUGUCUUAGGUUCUGCUUUUGAGGGAAGUCAAACUAACACAGGAGCUCAGAGAGUCCCUAGGAGAGCCAGAAAACCAGGCUGGGAGGGCACGUCGCCAGAAAUGAUGCCCCAAAUCAUCUACAGGGCUGGUUCAUUGGCAGCACCUCUGCUCCCUUCAUUGGGCCACAGACAUGUCACUGCUGAUCCUGAGCACUGGACAUUACUACUAGAAACUCUGCCACUGCCCCUUGGAAACCAGACAUAGCUGCCUCUACUCUCGACAGAAUGCUUCUUCAAGCCGCUAACUUCUGAUCAAAGCCUGGAGUGAGUGUGUGCGCCUCACCGGUGGACCCUAGAUCUCACAUUUUCUUUCUAGCUGUAAGGAAUGUUGGAAAGAGGGGUGGCUUGACUGAUAGGAAUAUUUUUCGAGCUCCUUGUAUACGUUGCCGAAAAGAUUAUACCAGUUACUCUCCAUCCAGCACUCACUGACCCCACAUCAUUUCUGGUGGCCCGUACAGGGACUUACUUCAUCGGCUUGUGAGCUCGAGUUCUGGUAAGUGCCCCUUUUCCUUGUGCCUUUCUCUUUUUCGAGGAUGGAUCUAAAUUCACUUCUCCAUUGGAAACUUUCUUGGAUGGCUGUAUGAAUUCAUGUUUGCUGCCCAUGGCUACUCUAUGGGGUAAAUCGUGGCAUUCAGCUUGAAGAGAAUCAGUACCUUAAGCCUCAGGGUGAUGGAGAAUGAAUUAAUCCAUUCCUUCCUGACUCUAUCUCUAAUAGACAAAUUUUACGUGGGCGCAGGUCUACCACUUAAGUCAUUAGGAUGGUCGCCAAUCUCCAAGACUCCUGUGGAAGGUUUCUUUUCCUAAGGCUGGAUUGGAAUCCCUCCCAUGGCACCUGACCAUGCUCUGAACUGAGGGAAAGUCCCAAUCGGGACUCCAGUUCAAGGAAAAUACCAAACUCUAACCUUUGGUGGAGUAUGGGAACCCCUUCUUGGGAGAAUGGCUCCAGGAUGCAAUUGGGUAGAAUGUCCCCCAGACUGGCAGAAAAUUCCUCACUGUUUUUCUCUAUCCUUUAUCCUGGGGACCAUUCACCAGGCACCUAUUACUGCCAGGCAUAAUAGGGAAGAUGUUCAAGGGAUGCCCCCAUCAUCCCUUGCUACAGGAACCCCAUUGGGGGGAUUUUCAAGGUAAUGGCUCCUUUUCUUUCAUCUCUCUUAAAGUUUUCCUUUUCUCUCAGGGACCAUUCACCAGGCACCUGUUAUUGCCAGGCAUAACAGGGAAGGUAUACAAGGGAUGCAAUGCCGGGGGAUGCCCCCAUCACCCCUUGCUAUAGGAACCCCACAGUAGGAACAAUGGCAGGAUGCUGCCCUAGGUUCAGGGGGGAUUUUUCAAGGUAAUGGACCUGUUUCUUUCAUCUCUCUUAGAGUUACAAUGGCCAUUUUUGUCUCCUUUUGAGCUUUGCAACCGGGAAACAAAGAAAUCUUUAAAGAGUCAAAGGCUCCACCCCUGGGAGCCCCAACUUUGGGUUUCUGGGCCUGACCACCCCAGCGACCCUAAGUGGGGGUGCCCUCUCUUGACGGUUAACUCAUUGAGUAUUUUAGUCACCUACUGAGUCAGUUAUGAGGGUAGGAGACCUGUGAUUUAUUCUGUGAACUGUCGUGCUAGGGUAGUGUGUCCCAGCACGGGAACUGUUGUGUGACUCUUAUCUUGAUAACCCUCUGGAAGAGGCCAUGAGGGCGAGGUCUGAUCUCUUCUUUUCCUUUCUUUGUCUGUCUUCUUCAUCACCUGCUUUGUUGUCACCAAGUCGAGGUUAAGUUCAGGCUGGACCUGAGCAGAACCUUGACCUUCUGUAAAAUUGAAAAAAUAAGCCUUUUGCCAGGGAUUUAACUCUCAACCCUGACGCUGGGAGCCCCGGCCUCCAGCCAGUUCCAGACCUUUGUGUCCUGCUUCCCUACCUCAACUGUGCUGGCUCGGAGACAAAGUGCCCAGGCUGAGCGGGACUUGACUAAAUCUUAUAACUAUGUCAACACCGGCAAUCAGCCUCUGCACACCCGCAAUUGGCCUCUGCACCCUUUCUCCAGCUGCUGUCAGUCAGACACAGGCUUUACUGUCACAGGGAAGGCCCCCUAAGUAUCCCCAGAGACCCACCCUGCGGAUGCAUUCUAACUCCAUCUGGGAGAAAAUUUGAGGGGUUUCUCUGUGCCUUUAUGAUGUAGUUGGACAGGUAGAUCAGCCUAGAACGUCAUUCAAGUUACAAUCCAGUUUCUGGGAAAUCAAGAGCAACUGUCCUUAGAAAAUCCUUGCAAGACUGGAAAUACAGCUCUAGAGGCAGUUCAGAUUCCACCUAGUUCCUUUAUCACAAAAAGGAUUAUCAUCUCCCCUCUCCAG
ensembl:lncRNA